UGUGUGUGUGUGUGUGUGUGUGUGUAUGUAUAUAUAUAUAUACAUAUAUAUAUAUACACACACACAUAUAUAUAUAUA